CGAGUCCAACUCAAGACAAAGACCAGAAGUGGGUUGAGUCUGAGUCAAGACAGAGACCAGAAGAGGGUUGAGUCUGAGUGAAGACAGAGACCAGAAGAGGGUUGAGUCUGAGUGAGGACAGAGACCAGAAGAUGGCUGAAUCCUAGUCAAGACAGAGACGACAAGAGGGCCGAGUCCAACUCAAGACAAAGACCAGAAGUGGGUUGAGUCUGAGUCAAGACAGAGACCAGAAGAGGGUUGAGUCUGAGUGAAGACAGGAACCAGAAGAGGGCUGAAUCCUAGUCAAAACAGAGACCAGAAGACCAGUCAAAUCAGUGCAGAGUCUGAAUCAACACCAAGACCAGAAGCGGGCCCAG